CUUCUGAGGAGAACAUGAGCAGUGAAGAUUCACCUUAGAGCUAGAACAGAGACGUGCACAUGAUUAUACAGGGGCAGGGGCUCAAGUUUUUUCCAGUUGUUUAUACAAUAUGGAAAUUAAUGUGAAAUUAAAAAACAAAGUAUUAAUAGAAAGGUAAUGACUGUCCUGAGUAGGUGACAGUGAUAUCCAAUAGGCUAGGCACUCAAGAGGCUGGCUGUGGCAAGUGUAAGUGAAAGCAACACGCACUGGCAGGAAGAACAGCAAACGCCGAUGAAGGAAAAGGGUCUUUGCAGUGAUGGGCGUUACCAGAGAGGGCGAUGGCCAGAGGACACAAAUGGGACGGGGAGGCAGCGCGUUGGGGGGGGGACGCGACACAGCUCGGGCCCGCCAGUGCCCCAACGGGGUCCAAGUUCUUUUUCCUCCCCUUUGAACUGGAAAAUGGCCCACUUCCCACUGGCGAAAACUCAUGAAAUUUGGCAGGACGACCGGGCCUGGUGAAAAAUUUGAUAUUCCGAAGUCGCCCAAAAAAGAAAAUGCAAAAUGGCUCCAUAGCGCCCCCUAAGGUGAAAAUUCACACUAUUGACUGUCACGCCUGUACGCUUUGUCAAAAUGACAAAAAAAUUGACACACACAUGUAUCUCAAUAAGAUCUACAAAAAAGUCAGUGCAGGCGUAUCUGUCAAAUGUACGGUUAAAGGGUUAUUCCGCAUUUUUUGCCGAUCCGCACACAUUGGAAUUUCGCUAACUCCUCCGAAGACUUUCGUUCCACCGGCACCACAUUUGCUCAGGCCAAUCUACACCCCAUGGCCAUUAAAAGUUAUUCAAAUCAUGACGCUGCACCCCACGGUUUAGGUUCUAGGGGGCGCCAAAGAUAACCCUAAAAUCCACAUAUUUAAAAGUCUUAUAACUUUUUAUUUUUGCCCUCACUGUCCUCCAAGUUUUCUAGGAUGAUGCAAUGUCCAGCCAUCAACACAUUUGUGAAGGAAUUUUUACUCCCCAAAAGAGCGCCCCCACAUGGCAGGAGAAAAAAGUCAAUUUUUUCUUGUCCCCUAAGGCGAAAAUACACAAUGUUGAGUGUCACGCCUGUACGCUUUGUCAUAUUGACACAAAAUUUGACAAUCACGUGUAUCUCAAUAAGAUCUACGAAAAAGUCAAUGGCCACGUAUCUGUAAAAUUUACGGUUAAAGGGUUAUUUCGCAUUUUUUGCCGAUCCGCACACAUUGGAAUUUCGCUAACUCCUCCGAAGGCUUUCGUUCCACCGGCACCACAUUUGCUCAGGCCAAUCUACACCCCAUGGC